rnacentral:tRNA from 1 species
UUGUAGUACAUACAAUACCUUGGUCUUGUAAACCAAAAAAGGAGAAUAUGCACCCUCCCUAAGACUUCAA